GUACGUCGUGAUUGGUACGAAGUGAGCGGCACGUGUGCAGAAGAAAAGAAUUUCUUUUACUUUCGAUUAUCGAAUGGAUCACGCGAGAAGAGAAGAAAGAAAAGAAAAGAAUAUAUACUUCCGAAAAAGUUAAAGGCUGAUCGUUCUUUCUUAUCUCGGAGGUCAACCAUGUUAAUCGAUUAACAAUAACGAUUACAUUCUUACCUUGAUUUUCACGUAAGAAUGAGUACCAAGAUUGUUGUCGACGAGGCAUGGCGGUGGUUUGUCUCUUUGUUCCAGUACGAAAAACUUUUUUGGAUCCCAGGCCCAUUUCAAGAGUCUUUUUACUAUCAUAUAGAGACCAUAGACGAAGGAUAAGAAGUGUAACUUGAUUAUCUCCCACGUUGAUAUGUGUACGAUUCUGUCGGUGAUCAUGAUGGCCAUGAAGAAAAAAGAAAAAAAAAGAAGAAUCCUUUUCGAACUUCCUUCCUUCGAGGUUACAACUUUUUUCCUUUACACUUACUUUAAUGUCUUUUUGGUUAACUAUCGUUUCUAUUUCGCGAUUAAACCGUUAUAAUAUAUGUACAUAUAUAUAUAUAUAUAUACCAUCAAUAUAUAAUAUACAUAAAAUACGUAUCAUAUACCAUACGAUAUAGAUAAAAUAUUUUCUUCGUU